UUACUCGUUCGUCUCUUGACAAAAUGUUAUAUUGAAAUUUUUUCAUAUGACGAUGUUUCAUUAUGAAAUUUCUAUGUGCAAUUACUAUAGCUACAAGUGGAAAGUGAAAGGUCUAUUUUAACAUAGCGAUAACCCAUAAUUAUAGGUUUCGUAGUAAUCAAUUAUCUACUUCAGGAUGUAAAGGGGAAAACAAGUAUGAGGUGAUUACAUCGAGUGUCAACAACGCUAAUUACACUAUAACUACUUUCCACGUGUGAAAAUAAUUAUCAUAUAAUAGAUAUAACCAUUAUUCACUUUUUUAAAUUCAUUUUUCCGUAUACAGAUAAUGUUAUUAAAUAUCAAACUUCGGGUCUCACAUACAAAGUUAAGUAUAUAUAACUAAAAAUUGUUACUCCGAUAAAAAUCAUUAUAAAUUGCAUUUAUAAUGUACUUCAUUCGUAAUGUUUUAUGUACCAUUGUUUUAGUAUAUUGUAUCGUAAGAGAUUUCCUGAAGCGUUUUCUAAACAAUCAGCUUACAAACAAAAGGAAGGAUGAUUUUUGUGCGGUAAUUUUUCGCUAUGCACGCAAAUAGUUCCAUAAUCGAUGUGAGGUCAAUAUCACGGACGUAGGUUCUUGUGAACGUGAUCGCUUUCGUCAUUUAUAGCUUAUAGCUGAUAUCUGGCGAGUUAUGAAACGUGGGGGCAUCUAGGUGGCACGGGGACAGAAACAGCGUCGCCCGCCGCUCGGUUGGUCAUCGUCGACGCAAUAACGCGGACUCAGCAACUGAUAAGCAAUCCCGCACGUUAAUGGCUCGCGCUCACGACUUGGCAAAAAGCCAGUGCGUGUUGGCGGAAUGAGAAUCUUACAGCCACGUCCAUUCAUUUUCUUCUUCUAUCUCUUUCUCUCUGUGUUAGACGUAACACGUUGGAUUAAGUGCUAUCUUUACAAACUUUUACUCAUCUUCACACUCAGGCGCCAAGCACAUCUUCAACGUUUAUUCACUUCUAUGCUCGUUUAUCUCUAAUUAGUGUCGAUUACGGUGCUUUAUUUUUUUGCAAUCACUUCUUAAUAUUGUCCCUAAAACAUCAUGGAUAUUUUUGUAAAUUGGUAAAUAUAUAGACAAACAAUUUCACUUAAUUGAUGUACGUGAAAUAUUUCUUUCGUUAAUUAAUAAUUAGAGAGAUGAAUAUUUUAAAGAUUAAUUUUUUUAUAACAUUUCAGUGACAUUUUUGUUCCAAAGACAUUCUUUGAGUAGAUAGUUAAGAUAGUUCAUCCUCGUUAAUUUAUAUAGGAUAAUAUAUUACUGUAACACAAAUGAAAUGGUAAGUAUGAAUUUUAAAUACUCCUGAGAAAGAAAAUAUUUUUUACGAUAUAUACGAUAUCUAUUUAAGAUAUUUUCACGGAACAGUCAACGUUAGCCAUCUUCAUGUUUCAGAAGCUAUGCCUGUUGCAGUUACAGUAGUUUUGUCUGCCAGAAAGUAGUGAGAAUUUUUACGGACGAUUUGCACGGAUUAUACCAGCCUGACAAGAUGAUUAAAAAGACUUGCGCGUUCGCUUUAGCAUAGCGUGACCCCUUUUUGGCACAGUAAAUCCCGCAGCUUCUUAUUCCACCCUUUCAGAAAAAAGUUUGCCCACCCCUUGGUUAACUGGUAAACGCCUCGAGCUGUCUGCACGCGCACCUGCUAUGUAUAUCGCCCAGCCGUUUCUUACCACGCGACCACGACUUAUGUCCUCUACUGAUAGAUAACUUUACAGAGUAAAGAGAGAAUAUUGUUGCAUUUCGAUGGAACAAUAUUGGACAAACUAUCAAAAAAGAAAAAUUCUUGAUUUUCUUUGUAAGUAUAUACGUUUUAUAAAUAUCGAGAGAGGGAAAUUGCAUCACUUUAUCCUGUUUGUUCUCUAUUAAAAUCACCUACUCUUUUUGUGCACGGUCCGUGUCAGCUGAUUACCAUGCAGUCUCACACGUGACUUGAUCUUGGAAUAAGACGGAUGCGUGAGGUGAUUGCGUUAUGUUCAUGGAUUCACGAUCCGUUCGCAACAUAGAUUUCUCGUCGAACAGACGCAAGAUGGUUCAGGAUUUACGAUUAUUCGAUGGUACUCUCGGAUAGAAUUUUCUAUAAACUCUCUUUAAGUAUACGAAAGUCAAUAUAUUCUUAUGAAGAGCAAUCACGUUCGCUGAUACUCUGUUACUUGUAUUGCAAUACGUAAUGUAAUAAUUAAGUCAACGUUUCUAGAUUAACUUAGUUUAAACUACAUUGUCAAAGACGAACUUCUCAAAUUUCUUCGCGGCACAAUCGAUUCCAACAGUAGUAAUCGAAAAACUAUUCUCCAGGUAGAAAAUAAAUUUUUUCCAUAAAUUUUCUCGGAUACAGAACAGUUGGAUGAACAAUUUUCGUGGUAGAAGCCGUGAAGACGUUUCGAUGCUGCAAUUUGUAAGACAAAUGCGUUGUUCACCUAACCAUCUGUUAAGUAUGUUUCGUCGUGAGAUAUGUUCAGAUCCGACGAUCGAGGGUUACAGAUCGCCAACGAUGGGUAGCCUUUACCGUAUCAUCUCUCUCUCUCUCCUUUCUCUCUCCCUUCUCUCCACCUCUCUCUUUUCUUUUUUCACGAGGAAACACGAGCGUAGAGACAGGGUGGAGACCCGAAUCCUGAAGCAGUGGACCGUGAAUGCGAUACCAGGUUUGCCAUGCUUCGGUGUGGGGGUGGUACCGUCAAACAACCGUUCGUCGACCAUCCCUUCGUAGUGCAAAUCCCAUCCUCUGCAGGUCACUUCCCGGACUGUGAACGACGUCAAAGUGAACGGACAUCGCGAAUAUGCACGAGACAGUGCUUUGCGCUUUCCGCCUUCGAAACAAAGGAACAAACGUGCAGCAAGAAGAUAAGAGAUAGAGUGAGGAAAUAAACAAACGAUAUGAAUGUACAUACUUUGAAAUGCAAGACUACUAAUCACAGUUGCGAUAAUAAAGAAGUUAUGCAAGUUCUAAUAGUUAUUCAUAACAUAACUUUAUACGAUUACGUCUCAUGAUCUGUAAGCAACGAGCGUGACAUAUAAACAUAAACACAUGGUUGCUUUGAAGACACAUGCUACUUCUUUCAUUGUUUAGAAAAACUGAGGCGUUAGCGAUUACAAAAGAAAUGUAGAUUAGAAGAAUAGUUCCGACAUUAUCACCACAUGAAAUGCACCUGACACAGGAGUUAACCGUGAGAUUAGAGUGCGUCAAGUUGUAUGUCAGCCCCCAUUCGAAGACACAAAGCUGCCUGUUAAACCGGUAGAGCAAGGUAUAGAACCGCUAGUGACCGACCAGUCACGUUAGACCGAACGAAAAGUAGAAUUCGUUGUAAUUCCUUACUGUCCACUAAGAAGUUCAAGGUUCGUCGACGUCGGCUUCAUCCUGAUGCUGCAGCACUCUCUGACGAUUAACCCAUAGCCCGAGAGUAGGAGGAACAAAAUUCGUCGAAGCCGCACGUCGGUCACAAAAUUCAUCCUCCAGCGGCAAAGUUCGAGGAGUGAAAGAAAAGGUGGCUCUCCUUGCGGAUACAACUUACAAGCUACAAUUCUGUGGCUACGAAGCGGCUACACCCUUUUACGAACGCGCGGCUCAACCACUCAUGCACCGACCAGUUUCGCCCCGAGUGGCAAGUGUGGCGGGAAUUAUGCAAUUAUUGCAUUGCGCUCGCAAUUGUCGCGGAAAACGGCGACUGCCUGAAUGGCCUGAGUGUCUAAGGGGUAACGGGGCAAGAAAGGGGGAUUUCCUCGUCGUUUUACUACCGACGUUUCCCCGUACGUUUCGUUCUCUGUUUUAAUUCAUUCUCGUUGGCCGCGAUCACGACCACGAAUCGGAGAUAAAUACGAUUUUAAUCUGCUUUCGAGCGUAUGAAGUAUUGAAAGAUCCGCUCGAAUAACAAAAUAGGUGUUCGCAGGGAAUAUAUUAUAACAUAAUAUUUUUAAAGUAGAAUCGUAAAAUUGGUACAUACAUGGGAGUUUCGGCAAACUAUUGUAAAUCGAAAUUUCGCUAGAUUCCUGUAUGCGUCGGUUUCUCACGAUUUCCAAGGGAAAACCAACUGCUCGGAUGCGACAUUAGUCAAUCAAGUUGAUGUAUCGCGUGAUGGUCUUGAAUCUAAAAUGCAACUAAACCUGACGAACAUUAACAAACGUCCCAAUAUUUUCUGUAUGAUUAUAGAAACGGCUCGUACGAGAGAUUAGAUAGACGUUUACCGCAACGGUCGUUGAUUUUCGUCAAGAGUUCGAAGCUUGACUAAUAAAAGGAAAAAGAAGAAAUCCUGGGUAUCUCUGUUAAUAAAGACGCCAAUCUUUUUGAUGUAUAGGUCACGGACAAAGACACAUCUAUGCGGGUACAAUAUAGAUUAUAACCGUGCACGUAUACACUCACCGUUGGCCAUUUAGGAUAUCCAUUUGCGUUCGUACACGUUCCUCCAUGGUAUCAUAUAUUUGCACGCACAGCGUUUUGUUGAAUACAGAAAAUAAGCCACGAUUUUAUAUUAGAAAUCCGACAAUGCUUCCAUUAUAAGCUUCCAUAGGCAUUACGGUCCCGUGGAACUACUCAAAGAUUUGAAUGACUCACUGUUUGCAAUAAUUUAGAACUCAAGUGCUCGAUAAAAUCUCAGCAUGUACGGAUGAGUUUUAAUUUCGACGAAAAUAAUUUUAAUCGAUACAGCUUUAUCGUUAUGAGUAUCCGUUAUUGAUUCAGCUAAUUUCGUCUGUUACGGAAGAACGCUUUUUGCAGUCAAAUUUUAAGACGUUGAACCUAAAAAGAAAACGACGAAUAUGAGGAAUAAGCAAAGAAAGCAACGCAUCGAAUCUUGCACUCUAUUUUUUGUUAUAUCAGAGUCUACAAAUUCCAUUGUCAGCUAUCUGAUGUCGACAUAAAUCAAACGAUUGCCACCGAUCAUAUCGAUCUAUACUCUUUUGGCAAUUAAUUCGCCAUCGUGUGUAAUAAUAACGAGCCUGCUUGAUUUGUAUGUUCGUGCCUCGGCAAAUAAUUACUACGAUAAAUUCA